rnacentral:rRNA from 1 species
UGAGGAAUUUUUCACAAUGGGCGAAAGCCUGAUGGAGCGACACCGCGUGGAGGAUGAAGGAUUUAUUUUCGUAAACUCCUUUUUUGUGGGACGAUAAUGACGGUACCACAAGAAUAAGGGGCGGCAAACUAUGUGCCAGCAGCCGCGGUAAUACAUAGGCCCCAAGCGUUAUCCGGAAUUACUGGGCGUAAAGCGUCUGUAGGUGGGAAGACAAGUCGGGUAUAAAAGGAAGAGGCUCAACCUCUUCAUGUGCCCGAAACUGUCUUUCUAGAAUCUGGGAGAGGUAAGCAGAAUUAUGCGAGUAGGGGUGCAAUCCGUUGAUACGCAUAAGAAUACCAAAAGCGAAGGCAGCUUACUGGAACAGUAUUGACACUGAGAGACGAAAGCGUGGGGAGCGAAAAGG